CGCGUUCCUCGUGGCCACCGUUUUCCAUCUUAUAGCAGGGACGGCGGGAAUGUUCGUAGGCACACUCGCGCACUACCCGCACAUGAUCCGAGCGGUGGACGGCCCUGAGCGUCCGGUGGACAUUCGACCAGCAGCCGUCCGGGUAUGGUGCGAUUGUCCCGGUACUCCUCCUCGGUGAAGUUGGCCGGCAGUGAAAAGCAUUCCGAGUUGUCGUACGAGUUGCAGGUGUAGCAACGGAGUGCGGUUGCUAAGGAGAAUUGAAGCAAAAAACAACAUAUCCAUAGUAAAGCGAGAUCUUUUAGCUGUCUGUCUUAGUAGCAAGUGGAAUCCAGUUGGAGGUGGUUGAAGAAGCUUUAAAAAUAGUGCAAGAUGCCGGGGAAGAAAGGCAAGAUAACGAGCUUCCGGGAUGGACACCAUCAAAGGAUAAGCAAGCUUUCCUGGAAGGGCCGGAGGUCGGCAAUUGUUUAUCCAGUCCAGUUCUCGUAUCGAACACAACGAAAUCAUGAAUUAUUAAUGGGAAGAUGGCCUUUACUCACACACACACAAAUCCUCUCAGGGACACUAGGACACACAGAAACACGUGGUCACAAGGUGCUGGAACCACUAACGAAGUGGCUGUAUUUUCAUGACACUCGAACCGGUCGGUAAAACGCAUGGAAAAUGCAAACAGAUUUUCCAAUCAUACAUUUCACCGCACGUGGUCAUCGCACCUUGUCCACCUUGCCCCGUGGUUGUGGUGGUGGGACAGCAUAAAUAAACAAUCCAGCAGCAGGUGUCGACGAUGCGUCCAA